GACGAACGCUGGCGGCGUGCUUAACACAUGCAAGUCGAACGGUGAAGCACCUUCCUUUUGGUGGGUGUGGAUGAGUGGCGAACGGGUGAGUAACACGUGAGUAACCUGCCCCCUUCUUCUGGAUAACCGCAUGAAAGUGUGGCUAAUACGGGAUAUUCUGGGUCUGUCGCAUGGCGGGCCUGGGAAAGAUAUUGUUUCGGUGGGGGAUGGGCUCGCGGUCUAUCAGCUUGUUGGUGGGGUGAUGGCCUACCAAGGCGGUGACGGGUAGCCGGCCUGAGAGGGUGGACGGUCACACUGGGACUGAGACACGGCCCAGACUCCCACGGGAGGCAGCAGUGGGGAAUAUUGCACAAUGGGCGCAAGCCUGAUGCAGCGACGCCGCGUGAGGGAUGGAGGCCUUCGGGUUGUAAACCUCUUUCGCCAGGGAAGCAGGCCUGUCCCUUUUGUGGGUGGGUUGACGGUAGCUGGAUAAGAAGCGCCGGCUAACUACGUG
rnacentral:rRNA from 1 species